rnacentral:lncRNA from 1 species
GUGCAUAAUUGUGGGGUGGUUGGAAAAUUAUUUAGAAAAUGUACCUCCCCUGCCAGAAUUCUUCAUAGGUCUAUUAAGAAUAAAGCAAUUGUUUUUGCUGUGUUCCAUUUUCUUUCUCUGUUUUCUCUAUAGCUGCAGACUCAGACGACCCAGUUUUUGAGAUGCUAUACGAGAGAAACCCAGUGCACAGUCAUUUUGAGAGGCGGCUUAAUGUCAGCACGAGACCCUUGAACAUCAUCUACAAUCCCCAGGCCAUUAAAAAAGUAGCAGACUUUUUCUACAAGGGAAAGGUUCAUACCUCAGGGUUUGGUUAUCAGUCUGAACUUGAGUUGAGAGUGGCUGAAGCUGCUCGAAGACAGUAUAACAAGCUGAAGAUGCAGACCAAGGCAGAAAUCCGACAAACUCUUGAUCGUUUACUAGUGGGAGACUUCAUUGAGGAGAGUAAACGGUGGAGUGUGCGCCUGGAUAUUUCUGCCCCACAGGUGAUAUUUCCUGAUGAUUUCAAGUUCAAGAACCCUGUGUUAGUUGUUGUGGAUCUAGGAAGAAUGCUGCUGACCAAUACCCAAGAUGACUCCAGGAGAAAAAGUGGGGACAGGUCAGGUUGUGAAGAGAAUGAGUUUAGUGAUGAUGAAUAUAAGACUCCACUUGCCACCCCUCCCAAUACCCCACCUCCAGAGAUAGGCAGCAGUAACGGAGAGAAAACACCUCCCUUUUCUGGAGUUGAAUUCAGUGAAGAACAGCUUCAAGCACACUUGAUGAGUACGAAGAUGUACGAGAGGUACUCCCUGUCAUUCCUGGACCUCCAGAUCAUGGUUGGACGUGUGAAAGACAAUUGGAAGCAUGUUCAGGAUAUUGAUGUGGGCCCCACCCAUGUGGUAGAGAAAUUCAACGUUCACCUUCAGUUAGAACGCAGGUUGAUUUAUACUUCCGAUCCCAAGUACCCAGGGGCCGUACUGUCAGGGAACUUGCCAGACUUAAAAAUCCACAUCAAUGAAGAUAAGAUAUCUGCCCUGAAGAACUGCUUUGCUAUCCUUACCACCCCAGAAAUGAGGACUUCUGACACUCUGAUUAAAGAGAAGAUUUUCCCCCAAGAAGGACAGCGGGGAAGCUUGCAGGACUCAGUCAUGAACUUAACCCAGAGCAUCGUGAUGGUGGAGCAGCACACCCGGGAGGUUCUGGUGGAGUCGCAGCUCCUGUUGGCUGAAUUUAAAGUUAACUGUAUGCAGCUUGGUGUUGAGAGCAAUGGCCGGUACAUUUCUGUGCUCAAGGUGUUUGGUACCAACGCGCACUUUGUAAAAAGGCCUUAUGAUGCUGAAAUCUCCCUGACUGUUCACGGUUUGCUCCUGGUGGACACAAUGCAGACCUAUGGCGCUGACUUUGACCUUUUAAUGGCCUCACAUAAGAACCUGAGUUUCGAUAUCCCAACGGGAAGCCUCCGGGAUAGCAGGACGCAGUCUCCUGUCUCUGGACCUAACAUGGCCUGUGUGACUGAGGCACCCACCCCGAAUGACCCAUCAGCAACCAGUGUUCCACUUGAAAAAAUUCUCACCAAAGAACAAGAGUCCCUUAUUAAGUUGGAAUAUCAAUUUGUGAGUUCAGAGUGCCCGUCAAUGAACUUGGACAGCACUCUUCAGGUGAUUUCCGUACAGGUCAAUAAUUUGGAUAUUAUCCUAAAUCCUGAGACAAUUGUGGAGCUGAUUGGUUUUCUUCAAAAAUCCUUCCCCAAGGAGAAGGAUGAUUUGAGUCCUCAGCCCUUAAUGACCGAUUUUGAAAGAAGCUUUAGAGAACAAGGGACAUAUCAGUCUACAUAUGAACAAAACACUGAAGUUGCAGUAGAAAUCCAUAGACUUAACUUACUACUCCUUCGGACAGUGGGAAUGGCAAAUGGAGAGAAAUAUGGCAGGAAAAUUGCAACUGCAAGUAUAGGUGGCACCAAGGUCAAUGUCUCGAUGGGGAGCACCUUUGACAUGAACGGUUCUCUCGGCUGUUUGCAGCUUGUGGAUUUGACACAAGACAGUGUUAAGAACCAGUAUGUUGUCAGUAUUGGUAACUCCGUAGGCUAUGAAAAUAUUGUCAGUGACAUUGGCUACUUUGAGUCCGUGUUUGUCAGAAUGGAAGACGCAGCCCUUACUGAAGCUUUGAGCUUCACACUCGUUGAGAAAUCUAAACAGGAGUGUUUUCUCAACCUGAAGAUGGCUUCCUUGCAUUAUAACCACUCAGCUAAAUUCUUGAAGGAGUUGACCUUAUCCAUGGAUGAACUGGAGGAAAACUUUCGAAGCAUGCUGAAAAGUGCUGCCACCAAAGUCACCACUGUGUUAGCUACCAAAACCGCUGAGUACAGCGAGAUGGUGUCACUCUUUGAAACUCCAAGGAAGACACGGGAACCCUUUAUCUUGGAGGAAAAUGAAAUAUAUGGGUUUGGCCUGGCUUCGUCUCAUGUGGACACUGUAAAGCUAAUCUUGAACAUAAACAUUGAAUCGCCUGUUGUUUCCAUCCCUCGGAAGCCUGGGAGUCCUGAGUUGUUGGUAGGACACUUGGGACAGAUAUGCAUCCAGAAUUUUGUGGCAGGAGAUGAUGAAUCGAGAAGUGACCGUCUGCAGGUAGAGAUCAAAGACAUUAGACUAUAUUCUUUGAAUUGCACUCAAUUGGCAGGCAGAGAAAGUGCUGGGUCUGAAGUAAAUCGGACAUUUUGGCUCCCCGCCGGGUCUGCCAGUGUCAACAGUCAGGAGGAAGCGCACUUCACACGGCAUGAUUUCUUUGAAUCGUUGCACAGAGGUCAAGGUGAGCAGCAUAAAGGUUCCAUUUCAUUUUAUUUAGAGGUUCAAAACCCAGCUCAUGCAGUAUUUUGCCAAAAAACAGCAACAACCAAACAUUUUCUUUUAGAAUUAUCCUCAGUAAAUAUUUUAGAAAUCAUAAUAGGA